rnacentral:lncRNA from 1 species
AUGGGGCAAAGCAAGGAUUCUGGGUCAAUCUCACAUUCCAGAAGCUAAAACCUGUAGAUUCUCCUUUAGAACUCCCACGAUAACCACACUCUGUGCUUGCUAGCAUGGGCUGCUUGGCACAGCAGUAGUAAGUGGAUGACUUACCUCUUAUGCAUAUCUGACUUUUCUCCACCUUCUUCCCUAGGUUUGUUAGAGUGCUGUGCUAGAUGUCUGGUAGGGGCCCCCUUUGCUUCCCUGGUGGCCACUGGAUUGUGUUUCUUUGGAGUGGCACUGUUCUGUGGAUGUGGACAUGAAGCUCUCACUGGUACAGAAAAGUUAAUUGAGACCUAUUUCUCCAAAAACUACCAGGACUAUGAGUAUCUCAUUAAUGUGUAAGUACCUCACACCACCUCCAGACUCAUCUCUUUUUCCCUCACCCUCACCCUCACCCUCACCCUGUCUUGGAGGUAGAGCUUAUCAACUUGAAGCUACAUAGCUUUCCUGACUUAUCCCUCUGGGUACAGGUUCUACCAUGCCAUGUUGGAAGCUCUUAAGGAAGGGGACAAUGUCAGACUUAGAAAGGAGGUCUGCCUCCACUCACUCCUCCCUGUGUUUUCACACAUGGCCCAAUUUCUGCUAGGUAUGUUUAA